GCACCGAGCAUCACCUACUGCUCUCUUGCUGCUUCUCUCCACCUCCUCGGGCUCCGGCUCGCAUCUUCCACUUCCACCACCACAGGCCGGCCUCCUCCGUGCCCGCCCGCCGCCGAUGGAGGCCUCCGCCCUCGCCGCGGCCGUCGCCAGGGUGGCCUCUGUAUGCGCGCCGCGCUCCCCGUCGUCGUGGCCGACGGCGCGCGGCGCGCGCGCCGUCCGCUGCAACGCCACCACCGAGCAGCUCGCUGUGCCGCUGUGCACGCCGGAGCUGGGCCUGGGCCUGGGCGCCGAGAUGUUCAACUCGGCGGAGGUGGUCCUGUGGGAGAGCGGCAAGUCCGUCAACGCCAUCGCCGCCGCGCAGGGCAUCCGCGUGCGCCGCCGCUGCCGCCCCACCCACCCCUCCGAGGGCGUCGGCGCCGACCGGGCCGUCCCGCGCAGCGUCCUCGAGCAGAUCGUCUGGGACAAGGAGGUCGAGGUGUCCCAGCGCAAGGCCGCCGCGCCGCUCCACAGGGUCGCCGACUCCGCGCGGCGCGCGCCGCCGCCCAGAGACUUCGCCGCCGCGCUGCGCGCCGCGCGCGCCCGCAACGCCGGCGCCCCCGCGCUCAUCGCCGAGAUCAAGAAGGCGUCGCCGACCAGGGGCCUGCUCAGGGACACCUUCAACCCGGUCGAGAUUGCGCAGGCCUACGAGAAGAAUGGCGCCGCCUGCUUGAGCAUCCUCACUGACGAGAAGCACUUUCUGGGGAGCUUCGAGAAUCUGGAGACCAUACGCAACUCCGGUGUGAAUUGCCCUCUACUCUGCAAGGACUUCAUCAUCGACAUCUGGCAGAUCUACUAUGCGUGGUCGAAAGGCGCUGAUGCGAUCCUCCUGAUCGCCGCCGUGCUACCAGACCUUGACAUCAAGUACAUGCUUCGUGUUUGCAGGAGUCUUGGAAUGACAGCUCUUGUUGAGGUUCAUGAAGAGAGGGAGUUGGAUCGCGUACUGAAGAUAGACGGCGUGGAACUAAUUGGCAUCAACAAUCGCAGUCUAGGGACAUUUGAAGUCGAUACUUCAAACACAAACAUGUUGUUACAGAAACGUGGUGACAUCAUUAAGAAGAAGAACAUAAUGGUUGUGAGCGAAUCCGGAUUGUUUACGCCUGAUGAUGUAGCAUAUGUGCAGAAUGCUGGUGUUGCAGCUGUUUUGGUAGGAGAGUCCCUAUUGACGCAGGAAGAUCCUGGACGAGCAAUCGCUGGGCUGUUUGGGAAGGAACUCUUACUCUAAUCUGCUCCCCUUGUGCUCUAAGCUAAUUGUCGUAUGUAGCAAUCAUGGGCUGAUAAGUGGCUUCCAAGCGUAAAGAUUGCACAAGGAUUUCUUUAUCGUUUGUGGAGAGCAAGCUUAUGACGCUGCUAGGACAGCAGACAACAUAGCUCAGCUCCGAGUUUAUUAUCCAUCGAGGCAUCUCGCAGCACCGUACCAGAAAGAAUGUCAUGCCAAAACGAGAGACAACAUGUAAAUGCCAUUUUUCUAUUUGUGAUUGCGCCUGCAUUCGGAGCAAGCCUAAGGUGUCCACGUACGUCGGCCAAAAUUUUCGUGGCCGCUAGAUUUCACAUCCACGGGGCUCAUAGACCUGUCUGAUCUCUCCUGUUUUCUGCCUCCGUGGUCUUCCUUUCACACUGUCUUUCCAAUUUUUGUCAACGCGGCCUUCAAUUCUCACCGGGUCACACUGCCCCUGGCUGCCAUGCCCGUCAGCUCUCUUUCCCACUGCUCUUCUGGGAAGCUUCCUGCUGUCCAGGGUUCAACUUUUCGAUCGAAUUUCGCCGAAAUUUCGGUGUUUUUUUCGUUUUCGUUAGUUACCGGGAAGAGAAAUUCCGGUAUUUUUCGCCAUUUUUCGUUUUCAAAUUUAAACAUUCAAAAAUAUUUAUAAAAAUUUCGAAAAAAUAUGAUUAAAAACUAGGUGUUCUUGUGAGCAAAUAGGACUAAAACACACUCAAAUCUAAAAUCAUUUGCUAGGCCAAAAUUGUAUUUUAGUUGAAAAACAAGGUUAUUUGUAGUAUAAUGAGGUAGAAUUUAUAGCUUUUUAGUAUCCGACGCAGCUUGGCAUUUCUCCAGACCCCUCCUCGCUCUAUACAAAUUGCAUUUUAGGAAUUCUCUAUACAAAUUAAAUAAAAAAAAUUCAAACACUGUCACAUGAAUUGAUAACCAAUUCAAAUCAUGUUUGUCCUGGAUUUAAAACAACUUUCAAUUGGAUCAACCAAUGUCCCUGAAAUUUAAUAGCUAUAUCCGCAA